UUUUUUUUUUUUGUUUGUUUUGUUUUUUUCUUUUUUGUUUGUUUUUUUAAGUACUUAUUUUACUUUUUCUUUUUAAAUUCCCCCACCCAUUCACAGAGGUAUAGAUUCACAGAUAAAUAACCCAAAAACUACUUGCUCGCCAUAUUUACACAUUCCCGUUAAAUUAAGCAUAAAUAAAUAUAUACAAACUCAAUACUGAAUGCCUCUCCACAUUUCUUCUCAGGAAGAGUCAAUAAACUGAUAUUUCUCACUGCAUGGUCAGAUUUUUCAAGAAGCGGAGGUGAAAGGGAUCAUUUGGGGCAUAAAAGGAGAAUUUUCUUUUUUUUUUUUCAUCUUUCCAGUUGCUCAUUCACUUUUUCAGAGCUUUGCAUCUAUUUGGGGUUUUUUUGCUUUAUUUCUUGCCAGCACACAAAGUUUCAUCUCUCUCAAAAUGUUCAGGCAUUUGCCAGUGUGUUUGGGGAUAUUUGCUUUUACUUUUUCCCUUUGUAUAAGAAAAUAUACUAUUUGUAAAAAGCCUACAGCCUCUCACACAGAGGGAAGCUGGAGGGGAGCAGGAGUUUGGUUGGAUUAAUCUGGCAACGCUUAUGGCAGCUGAAAUGAGCACCAAAUUCUCCAAGAAAUGUAUUAAAACAGAGCCAAACAGGUCUGUGUGAUAAACUGGUCAGAAAGGGAUGAGCAGGGGAAGGCAAUAAGCCCUUUGCGCACAGCUAAGGGUCUUAAAACCAUCCUUCCCCCUCUCCCUCCCAACCCCAAAUGAAUAUUUGGGGAUUUUUGGGAGAGGUUGGUCUGGGGUGCAAAGGGACUUAAAACAGCUUCUCACAGAGAAUUUCUAUUAGGUGGGACAAGACACGACCCGAUUCUAAAGAAAUUAUCGGGUUGUAAAAGGAUUCCUAUAAAAUUGGCUUCUUGUUUCCUUCACAUCUUGUGUGAAUACUAACCAGAGGAAUAAAAUAAAAAAGCCAGGGAGCAUACGAAAACAAACACCUUUCCAACAGAAAAUAGAGAAUUGUUAUUAAAAAAAAAAACAACCUAAGAAUAAAAUAAAAUUUACAGUAACCCACCUGUUUGUUUUG
rnacentral:lncRNA from 1 species